rnacentral:rRNA from 1 species
AUUGAACGCUGGCGGCAUGCUUUACACAUGCAAGUCGAACGGUAACAGGUUAAGCUGACGAGUGGCGAACGGGUGAGUAAUGCAUCGGAACGUGCCCGAUCGUGUGGGAUAACGCAGCGAAAGCUGCGCUAAUACCGCAUACGAUCUGAGGAUGAAAGCGGGGGACCGUAAGGCCUCGCGCGAUCGGAGCGGCCGAUGUCAGAUUAGGUAGUUGGUGGGGUAAAGGCCCACCAAGCCGACGAUAUGUAGCUGGUCUGAGAGGACGACCAGCCACACUGGGACUAGGACACGGCCCAGACUCCUACGGGAGGCAGCAGUGGGGAAUUUUGGACAAUGGGCGAAAGCCUGAUCCAGCAAUGCCGCGUGCAGGAAGAAGGCCUUCGGGUUGUAAACUGCUUUUGUACGGAGCGAAAAGGUCCUUUCUAAUACAAGGGGCUCAUGACGGUACUGUAAGAAUAAGGAUCGGCUAACUCCGUGCCAGCAGCCGCCGUAACAC